GAACGCACAUUGCGCCCACUGGUAUUCCAUUGGGCAUCCCUGUUUGAGUAUCAGAAUCCUUUCAAUUAUCAAACUUUUACAUAUAGAGAUAUAUGUAAAGAUGUUUGGAAUACAAUUGAGAAAAGUAGUAUUCCUUAUGGUAUUGCUUUCUUAAAAACUAGAAAUACUAUGUUUUGAUUUUUCUUCAGCUCAUUUUGUAUAUCAUUUAACAAAUGAGUACGAGUAAAAAUAUACAAUACUUUGGAUGACCUCAAAUCAGGUAGGGAUACCCGCUGAACUUAAG
rnacentral:misc_RNA from 1 species